rnacentral:rRNA from 1 species
UGGGGAAUAUUGGACAAUGGGCGCAAGCCUGAUCCAGCCAUGCCGCGUGAGUGAUGAAGGCCCUAGGGUUGUAAAGCUCUUUCAGCGAGGAGGAUAAUGACGUUACUCGCAGAAGAAGCCCCGGCUAACUUCGUGCCAGCAGCCGCGGUAAUACGAAGGGGGCUAGCGUUGUUCGGAAUCACUGGGCGUAAAGCGCACGUAGGCGGACUUUUAAGUCAGGGGUGAAAUCCCGGGGCUCAACCUCGGAACUGCCUUUGAUACUGGAAGUCUGGAGUCCGAGAGAGGUGAGUGGAACUCCGAGUGUAGAGGUGAAAUUCGUAGAUAUUCGGAAGAACACCAGUGGCGAAGGCGGCUCACUGGCUCGGUACUGACGCUGAGGUGCGAAAGCGUGGGGAGCAAAACAGGAUUAGAUACCCUGGUAGUCCACGCCGUAAACGAUGGAAGCUAGCCGUCAGGGUGCAUGCAUCUUGGU